UACAGAGGGGGCAAGCGUUGUUCGGAAUUACUGGGCGUAAAGGGCGCGUAGGUGGCCUUCUAAGUUGAACGUGAAAUCCCUGGGCUCAACCCAGGAACUGCGUCCGAUACUGGUUGGCUUGAAUCCGGGAGAGGGAUGUGGAAUUCCAGGUGUAGCGGUGAAAUACGUAGAUAUCUGGAGGUACACCUGUCACACUAGCGACAUCCUUUCCCGGUAUUAACGCUUAAACUCAAAAGCUAGGUUAUCAAACAGC
rnacentral:rRNA from 1 species